rnacentral:rRNA from 1 species
UACGAAGGGGGCUAGCGUUGCUCGGAAUCACUGGGCGUAAAGCGCACGUAGGCGGCUUUCUAAGUCAGGGGUGAAAUCCUGGAGCUCAACUCCAGAACUGCCUUUGAUACUGGAGAGCUUGAGUCCGGGAGAGGUGAGUGGAACUCCGAGUGUAGAGGUGAAAUUCGUAGAUAUUCGGAAGAACACCAGUGGCGAAGGCGGCUCACUGGCCCGGUACUGACGCUGAGGUGCGAAAGCGUGGGGAGCAAACAGGG